rnacentral:rRNA from 1 species
ACACCUCAACUCUCAUGGUUUGCCAUGAUGAGUUGGACUCUGGGGGUUUUGCUGGCCUGUGGUCGGCUCCUCUCAAAUUAAUCAGCCUCCCAGUGUUUGGUGGCAUCACGGGUGUGAUAAAUAUCUACGCUCGCUGUUGUCUGCCAGGUAACCUUUGGUCACAAAGGUUUGCUGGAGCUCACAGAUGUCUCUCCUCAGCGAGGACAGC